GAUGAACGCUGGCGGCGUGCCUUAUACAUGCAAGUCGAGUGGGUUUAGACCCACGGCAAUCGGGUGAGUAACACGUCGGUCCUUUCCUUGUCACAGGAAUAACCCUCCGAAAGGAGGGCUAAUACCUGAUGUGAUCGCAAGAUUAAAGGGUAUCUGUUAGGAUUACCGGACAAGAAGAGGCAUGCGGCCUAUCAGCUAGUUGGCGGGGUAAAUGCCCACCAAGGCUACGACGGGUAGCUGGUCUUAUGAGGACGAUCAGUGAAAUGGGCACGGAGACACGGGCCCAACUCCUACGGGAGGCAGCAGUAGGGAAUUGUGCGAAAUGGGCGAAAGCCUGACGCAGCGACGCCGCGUGCGAGAUUAAGGCCUGCGGGUCGUAAACCGCUAUUAUAAGGGACGAACUUUGACGGUACCUAAUGAAUAAGAGGGUGCUAACUCUGUG
rnacentral:rRNA from 1 species